CUUCAGUAAGGAAGCCCCCUUUCCUUAAGAGCUCCACCAACAACUAUCAUAACUAUUUUUAACUGACAAUAUAAUCUGGAAGAUAGCUGUUUGGUUAAUCUACUGGGACCGCAACGAGACAAAUUUAAAACGUGCCAAGGAAGUUCCCAUUUUCUUCAGUGAUUAUUUAUCCCCUCUGGGUCAACAGCUGGCUUUUUCUCGGUGUGCUACUAUUUUAAAGCUAAUCACUAAGACAGUCUCGUAAGAAAAAGGAGAAGAAUUAAUUUAUUUAAACAAAAUGUUUGUUAUAAGCGUAUUCGCAGUAACAACACUGAUAACUCUGUCAAAAUCUACACCCUUAUCAUACGUAACACAUCA